rfam:Populus trichocarpa scaffold_1_contig_782, whole genome shotgun sequence.
CCGACCUUAGCUCAGUUGGUAGAGCGGAGGACUGUAGUGGUGAUGCCAGCAGCCAAUCCUUAGGUCGCUGGUUCGAAUCCGGCAGGUCGGA